rnacentral:tmRNA from 1 species
GGGGACGCUGGGCUUCGACGAACAUUGAAAAAUUAGAAUCGAACCGAAGCGUACAACUUCGUUAAAAUGUGCAAACAGAAAAGUGCAAACUUUUCCUCAAAGUUACGAAUGCCAGUAAUGGCGUUUGCCUAACUUCUUCGCCCCUUUGAGGGCGAAGCAUCCAAGCGCUUGAUGCUCGCUAGGGCUGUCUUGGGUGUUAUAUUAGCGAGAUGCUUUCUUAUUGCUCCUGCCAAUAAGAACUAAGACUUGUCAGGAUAGGUUAAAAAGUUUUCGCCAAACUUCUUACUUUUCAACCGAGGGGCUUGUCAUGAAAUAAGUGAACGAUUUGGAGAACCGAAUUUGAGCCGAGUUCAAGGCGCGAGAAGGAAAUCGCAGAAAGUUCUGCCUUUCCGACGAGCAACACAGAAAUCGGCCAAAGACGGAAUCUCCCCGAAGGGCCAGGAUUAUUUUGAGCUGCGGCUUUGCAAAAAUUUUUCUGCAGAUACUUAAUCGUAUAUGCUUCAAAAUUUUUACUUUGCCUCGCUUCAAAAUCAUCACUGGCAAAUCUGUCCAAUUAUUUCACGACAAGCCCCCAUCAAGUUUGGCUACGUUCGUACCAGUUCUAAUUCGUAAAUGAUUCGGAUGCGGGUUCAACUCCCGCCGUCUCCACUA